rnacentral:lncRNA from 1 species
UCUGGGACAAUUCAUUUCCAAUGUAUAUUCUUAUCCAAACAGAAGCGUAAUUUCUUGUGAAUUGAAUAAUUGAUUUAGCGUACGGGGAAUGGAUUCCUGUCAACGGAAUAUUAUUACAACUUUAACAAGUGAGUAGUUGAAACGGAUGAACUAAACUUUUAAAAGAACAAACACCACCGCACAUUAACCACUUUAAAGUUUUUUCACUUUAUUUCUUUCUUUUUACCUUCUUAAUUUAAUACCGAUACGCAUCUUCAGGAACAACCUAACUGCAUCACGAGUAACGUUUAUAUAAAGCUCCACAGCUCUUGCUUAUCACGUCACCUCACCUAGCUCAUAUAAUUUAGUUCAUAAAUUCAAAACGAAGGUUGUUGAGUAGUGGCAAGUAGCAACAGGUCAAUGGUCAUUGGUCAUACGUAUUCGGGUUCGGAUUCCUGUCGGAUAAUUGUUUUAACGUAAUUAUAAUGAAUAGUAAAAGCGAUAAACAAAUGUGCUGGGGAAGACUGAGAACGAACUGCUGCAAGUAAACGAUUAUAAUAUGACUUCGAAGAUGUUGAUGAUUUUAGUAUUGUGAACCGUAGCCACCUAGAAAGUGGACGAACAAUAAUUAUAUAUUGUCUGUUUAUAUGGUUGAAUUGUAAGCUGCAGAUAUGAUUGAAUAAACUGCAUACCUGUCACUAUCUGUCAGCAUGGCAGCAAUUAAGGAACUUCAAGUCCAAGCAGCUACAACUACAAAACCCAGAAAAGGCUGAUCAUUCAUCAAACAGUCUUCUCUUUUUAUCGAAAUUUUUUGGUUUCUGCUCAAUCU